rnacentral:lncRNA from 1 species
UCACCUCGUAGAAGUCCAGCAUGGUAUGUCAGAGCACCUGGAGGGAAAGGACCAUCAUUGCUUUCUCAGCUUCUGGCACAAAGCCUAGCAUGUAGUAGGAGUUUUCAAAACGAAUACAGUAUGAACAGAUAUAUCUGCUCAAAGUGUGUAUCUUCCUCCAGGAUCAGUGAGGUCAUUUUCCCAGAUAAAGAGGAACUUUAUUCUUCCAGUGCAUAGUUCAGCUUCUGAAAUGGAGACAAGAGAGAAUGACCCAUCACCUCCCCAUGAAUGCAGCCAAACUGGAUGUGACAAGAUGUGGCACCACCCAGCAGAGCUCAUCUUCUCUGUCCUGCAGAAUGUUGUUGAUGAGGCAUGGACCCUUACUGAAGGUGUGACUUGGCAGAAAGGGGCUGUGCCCAGAGACCAGAAGUUUGGGGACCAAAAUAAUGCAGCCACUUCCCUUCUACACGUCCCUUCCUGGAACUGGGAUUUCAAUUGUUCAACAAAUUGCAGAUUGGUUGAUUUCACUGCUGCUGUCUGAGCCUCGGGUAUAAAAUGGAGUUGGUGUAACCUGGCACCCAUGUUGUGGCCAAAGCAAAAUGAGAAAGGUAUGUGAAAACUCUGAAAAUGAUCAAGGUACUGAUUUGUUUGAGUCUAG